rnacentral:rRNA from 1 species
GUGGGGAAUCUUAGACAAUGGGGGCAACCCUGAUCUAGCCAUGCCGCGUGAGUGAUGAAGGCCUUAGGGUCGUAAAGCUCUUUCGCUGGGGAAGAUAAUGACGGUACCCAGUAAAGAAACCCCGGCUAACUCCGUGCCAGCAGCCGCGGUAAUACGGAGGGGGUUAGCGUUGUUCGGAAUUACUGGGCGUAAAGCGCGCGUAGGCGGAUUGGAAAGUUGGGGGUGAAAUCCCGGGGCUCAACCCUGGAAUGGCCUUCAAAACUCCCAGUCUUGAGGUCGAGAGAGGUGAGUGGAAUUCCGAGUGUAGAGGUGAAAUACGUAGAUAUUCGGAGGAACACCAGUGGCGAAGGCGGCUCACUGGCUCGAUACUGACGCUGAGGUGCGAAAGCGUGGGGAGCAAACAGGAUUAGAAACCCCAGUAGUCC